CACGUAGGGCGCAAGCGUUGUCCGGAAUUACUGGGCGUAAAGCGCGCGCAGGCGGUCCUUCAAGUCAGAGGUGAAAGCCCAGAGCUCAACUCUGGAACGGCCUUUGAGACUAGAGGACUUGGGUACGGGAGAGGUGAGUGGAAUUCCGAGUGUAGAGGUGAAAUUCGUAGAUAUUCGGAAGAACACCAGUGGCGAAGGCGGCUCACUGGCCCGUUACCGACGCUCAGGCGCGACAGCGUGGGGAGCAAACAGG
rnacentral:rRNA from 1 species